UUAAAAGCUGUGAACGGGAAGAGUAGGCAUGCAAGCUUUGGCGCAGCGAGCCGGUGACCGGGCAACCGGAGGUGUGAUGACCGGCCCAAAGCCCAUGUUGAAUGGACCCGCGAGCUGCCCCCCGAACGCACAGGCAAGUAGGCCGGGCCGGUUGCCACCGUUAACAGGCUAGGGUAUCGGAUUUUGUUCCCGUACCUGAAAAAAGGGAGAACAUUAUGUUUUCCGAAUAAGGGUGGUACCGCGAACCAUUUCGCCCCUUAC
rnacentral:ncRNA from 1 species